rnacentral:ncRNA from 1 species
GGUUAAGCGACUAAGCGUACACGGUGGAUGCCCAGGCAGUCAGAGGCGAUGAAGGACGUGCUAAUCUGCGUAAAGCGACGGUAAGGUGAUAUGAACCGCUACAGCCGUCGAUGUCCGAAUGGGGAAACCCGGUGCACUCUGUGCAUCAUUGCAGCAUGAAUACAUAGUGCUGCAAGGCGAACCGGGGGAACUGAAACAUCUAAGUACCCCGAGGAAAAGAAAUCAACCGAGA